GACAGAGUAUUCGGGCAGCGAACCUAUCAAUUGUUUGUUCCCAUAAUGUAAAUGGUGUUUCAAAAGUACAUUUUGAGUUAUUAAAGACCAAGGUGUUCAAGGACUUCUAUGAGCUGUGGCCUAAGAAAUUUCGGUACAAGACAAAUGGUGUAACUCAGCGACGAUGGAUUGUAGUAAGCAAUCCCAGUCUUUGUGAUCUUAUCACAAAAUGGCUUGGAACAGAAGCUUGGAUUCGCAAUGUUGAUCUUCUGACUGGCCUCCGAGAAUGUGCGACAGAUGCAGAUCUGCAGCAAGAAUGGAAGAUGGUACCUUCUAGCUAAGAUCACGAGCAUUGAUGCAAAAGUAAUGUGUUAACAUGUUCUGGAAAUUUCACAUUGUAGGUUAGGAGGGUUAAUAAAAUGAGGCUUGCAGAAUACAUUGAAGGGCUGAGUGGUUUAAAGGUCUGGAUAAAAAAUUACAAGGUCUUGUUACUGCCUUUACUCAUGCAUACUUAUUUCCUGCAACUUUUCAAGCCUCUUUCUUCUUAUCAUUGUUAAGUGUCAUUGAAGUGGUCAUAGUUUUCUAUAGCUAUCAAAUGAUUUGUCUGCAGUACCGUGGAUCUCUCUUUUUCCUUCUUUCACUACAUGCUAAUUGUUGGGAAUACAUUAUUCUAACACCAUUUGGAAUUCGCAUAAUUAAAUCUUGUGUCAGUUAAUGAUCACUUGUAUAAAUGAUUAUUACAAGUGUAAGUAGUGCAAUUAAUUGGAUCUGUAUACUAAUGUAUUAUCUUCUCUUUUUUUCUUUUUUCUUUUUCCUUUUUGGGGUAUAAGUAUUUUCUAGUAAGUAGCUAAUAGUUGGUUCUUCCCUUUCCAAACUAUGAAUGAGAGUGACAGGAGGAAGGUUGUACCACGUGUCUGCAUAAUUGGAGGGAAAACUGCUCCUGGAUAUGAGAUUGCAAAAAAUAUUAUCAAACUUUGUCAUGUUGUUGCAGACAAAAUUAACAAUAAUAGUGAUAUGUGAGAGCUCCAUUGCGACACUAUCUUUUGGAACAUUUUGACAUCAACUUGAAUGAUGAGACAACUAAAAAAUGCAUUGAUGAACAAAUGAGAAAAGCUUGGAAGGGUCAUUGUGUUUAAUCGACCAACUUAUGAAGAGUUAGUUGAACGACUUAAUGAUACAACUUCCUGCCUUAAUGCUGCUAACGAACAACUUAGUGUAGUUGUGGAUAUACUUCGUCAUAACAAUUUGAUGGCACCGCCUCCACCACCUCCAACAGACCAAGCUUCAGAUGCAAAUUUAAGAGAGUUGCCAUCUAUUUCAGUUCGGGAGUCACAAGAUGAUUCUUAGUUUAUUUACAUUAAUUUACUAAGGAAUGAACUUUAUGAAUUUUUUUUUUAUUUUGGUAGGGGUAACCUUAAAAUGAUAACUUUAUGAAUUAUUUUAGUAUUGAACAUUAUAAAGAAUUUUAGCAUUAAACAUUUUAUUAUUGAAUGGUUUUUUUCUAGUUUAUUUCUAAUAUAUAACAUUUAUAAAUAACUGUUAUUAUCUUUUACCUACACAUAACCAUUAAAUUUGAACAAAAUAUAAAUUGUGUAACAAACCAAUAAAAUAAUGCUAUGUGGGCUAA